rnacentral:rRNA from 1 species
AUGAACGCUGGCGGCGUGCCUAAUACCUGCAAGUCGAGCGAACAGACGAGGAGCUUGCUCCUCUGACGUUAGCGGCGGACGGGUGAGUAACACGUGGGUAACCUACCUAUAAGACUGGGAUAACUUCGGGAAACCGGAGCUAAUACCGGAUAAUAUAUUGAACCGCAUGGUUCAAUAGUGAAAGACGGUUUUGCUGUCACUUAUAGAUGGAUCCGCGCCGCAUUAGCUAGUUGGUAAGGUAACGGCUUACCAAGGCAACGAUGCGUAGCCGACCUGAGAGGGUGAUCGGCCACACUGGAACUGAGACACGGUCCAGACUCCUACGGGAGGCAGCAGUAGGGAAUCUUCCGCAAAGGGCGAAAGCCUGACGGAGCAACGCCGCGUGAGUGAUGAAGGUCUUCGGAUCGUAAAACUCUGUUAUUAGGGAAGAACAAAUGUGUAAGUAACUAUGCACGUCUUGACGGUACCUAAUCAGAAAGCCACGGCUAACUACGUG